GGGCAUAUGGUGUAGGGGUUAUCACAUUCGCUUUGCAUUUGUAUGUUUGCGAAAGGUCUCCGGUUCAAAUCCGGAUUUGUCCA